rnacentral:tRNA from 1 species
GUUGUGGCUCAGUGGUAGAGUGCUUGCCUAGCAUGCACAAGGGAUUGGGUUCAAUCCUCAGCACCACA